UACAUACUAGCCGAAUUGGUACAGGCGCUUGACUGAAAAUCAGGUUAUUGCAGGUUCAAAUCCUGUGUAUG
rnacentral:tRNA from 2 species